rnacentral:rRNA from 1 species
UACGUAGGGGGCAAGCGUUGUCCGGAAUCAUUGGGCGUAAAGAGCGCGUAGGCGGCCCGAUAAGUCCGCUGUGAAAGUCAAGGGCUUAACCCUUGAAUGCCGGUGGAUACUGUCGGGCUAGAGUCCGGAAGAGGAGAGUGGAAUUCCUGGUGUAGCGGUGAAAUGCGCAGAUAUCAGGAAGAACACCCGUGGCGAAGGCGGCUCUCUGGGACGGUACUGACGCUGAGACGCGAAAGCGUGGGGAGCGAACAGG